rnacentral:lncRNA from 1 species
ACACUAGCUGGUUACUAAUGUCUUGACCGAUGUCAUGACACGUAUGUGUGACUACAUUGUAGUUGCUGCAGGACUAGCUAACACAGGAUUUAUUGAAUGUCAAACUGGAUGCUGUGACAUUCAUACCUAUCAACAGAUACUAAGGAAUAGAACAGCUAGUGUUCUGUUAGAACUUAGUAUUUAUUUCCAGUCUGGUUAUCAAGGAAAGACCAGAUCUGGCAUGAGGCCUGUUGACUGAAUGUC